AUUUAGAUGAAUUAAAGUAUAAAGUAAAGCAAGUUAAUAAUAACAGCUCCUGAAUAGGGAUACGUGAAUGGACCUGUAGCAACAUAUUCAGGUGCAGCAUAGCCAUGAGUACCCAUGACUUGAGUGGAGAUAUGAGUCCUAUCACCAGUGGGGCCUGCUUUGGCCAAGCCAAAGUCAGAAAGUUUUGCAUUAAACUCCUGCAUAAGUAAAAGCA